rnacentral:rRNA from 1 species
UACCUCAUAGUAUUAUUUAUAGGCAUCUAUAUUAUAAUUAAAACUUCGGUGGUUAAAGAUGAGCAUGCGUCCUAUUAGCUUGUUGGUAAGGUAAAAGCUUACCAAGGCUACGAUAGGUAGGGGGCCUGAGAGGGUGACCCCCCACACUGGUACUGAGACACGGACCAGACUCCUACGGGAGGCAGCAGUGAGGAAUAUUGCGCAAUGGAGGAAACUCUGACGCAGCCAUGCCGCGUGCAGGAUGAAUGCCCUAUGGGUUGUAAACUGCUUUUCUGCAAGAAGAAACCUUAGUACGGUACUAAGUUGACGGUACUGCAGGAAAAGCA